rnacentral:lncRNA from 1 species
UUUCAAACAUUUUCCCAAAGGCUUUUCCCCUUUUGAUUCAUAUCAGCCUGGCAUGCUGAACUUAGUUAUAAACUUGAGACUAGUCAUGUGUCUCUGGGUCAUUUAGUUUGGUUUCCUGUUAUCAAUAAUGUCUAAUAGGACCUACUUCAGAAGAAAAGCCUAAAUCAGAAUGUACUUCGCAUCAACAUGUUUGGCAGUUUCCAAGGAAGGCAAGAAAUACACACAACCUUUUAUGUCUAUUCUCCAUGCAGGUACACGGCUAAGGAAGAACUGCUUGAGAAAUGGUCAAAGGGGCUUCUCCAAACCAAGAGCUCUCCAUCCAAGAAGGGCGUCGGUAAUGCAAAUGGUAAGGCUUGGCUAAAGCUGUAGAGCCCAGAGUUUAAAUCAUGGCUCUAUUCCUUCACCAGCAAUGUGAGUCCAGGGAAAAGACUUCAACUCUGAGUCUCAGUUUUCUUAGCUGUAAAGGGGUAAUGAUGGUAGCCUAUAAAUUGCCUGUCACUUGCAGGUGCUCUAAAAAACAUUAACAAAAAAAGGGGGUGUAUUCAUCUACUUUGAAAAGACUUGAUGGAUCACUGUGCAGAAGCUAUCAGUUAAGCAAUAGCUUAAUGCUACAAUAGGAGAAGACCUCUGCAGAGUCAGUUCUAACCAGAACAUCUAUCCACAAAGGACACAGUUAAAGAUGACAUCAGACAAGUUCUUAGUGAUCAAGCUGAUUUAUGAAAGCAGUCUGUAACCCAUCUGUGUAUCCAAGAGAAUGCAAUGAGAUAGGUUUAAUGAAAAAGAAUAUUGGCGGGGGUGGAGCGGUUGUGGGGGGUGAUCAAAGGGACAGACACAUAAGAGAAAAGAAGAGUUGAACUAAGAAGGGAAGGUAACACAAUUCAUUGAAAGGAAAGAACAUGGGGAAAAAAAAUCACAAAAUCUUAGUACUACAGGAUGGGCAGACGAGGCGAGAACUACACAAUCAGUCUAGCUGCAAUCAAGCUCAUGAGAACUUAGGUGGCCUUAUUUGGGGCAACCGGGUAACAGCAGCUGGUGCUAAGAGCAGAUGUCUGAGAGCAUUGAAGCUUGACUUAGGUCGUUUGGUCAAAACUUUUUGAUAAUCAUGCCACUAGGAAGGUGGGAGGAAAGCAAGUCUGUUGUUCCUGUCAUUGGAUACCACGGAGCGUGGUAUGCUGACUCGCCAGAAUAGAGAGGGGAGCCCAUUAUCAUCAGCAGAGGGUCAAUGGCAAGACGACUACGUCUCUCAUCAGACAUUGUUCUGCAGGGAACACUGCGCCUGCAGGCCACCCAAUUUAGAAGGGCAUGUCACCAAAGCCUGGUGCCCCAAACCACCAUCAGCACCAUGGGUUGCCUGGAGUGGACAUGCCAUCUGAACACAAAAUUGUGUUCCCAUCAUGGCUCAGCAGAAAUGAAUCUGACUGGCAUCUAGGACGACACAGGUUCGAUCCCUGGUCUUGCUCAGUGGGUUAAGGGUCUGGCGUUGCUGUGAGCUGUGGUGCAGGUCGCAGACACAGCUUGGACCCCACGUUGCUGUGGCUGUGGUGUAAGUCAGCAGCUGCAGCUCUGAUUCGACCCCUAGCCUGGGAACCUCCAUAUGCCAUGGGUGCGGCCCUAAAUAAAAAAAGAAAAAAGAAAGAAAAAGAAAAUGUAGAAAUUCUCGAGCUACUGCUGGUGUGUCUCAGAAAGAGAGAUCUGGAGGGUUCGAGGGAUGGCGGGUACGGGGAGAGAGUGAUGGAGUUGGGUUCCGCAGGUCACUCAGAGGACAAGGUGUCACAAACCAUGGACUGACCCGACAUGGCUAGGCUUUCCCCCACAUUUUCAAAAAAAUGAAUAUAGGUUCAAAUGCAGUAUAUUUCUUACCAAAACGCGGUUGCCCUGUGGGAGUUUUGUAUGAUAAGGACGACCUAGGAAACAUCACUUUUAUAAGUCUUCUCACACCAACGAGCUCUCCACUACCCCCAAACCCCCAUCUUUCCUGGGUCACACACAGAUAUUGCCCAAUGCUCUUGCUUGUUUCCAGCUAAUCAAUAAAAAGGGGGUGUGGAUUACCCCUCCAGGCUCCAGGAACCUGGGUGACAAGCAUGAAAACAUGAUAGCUGGGGGACAUUAAUGGCAUUUGAGGAGUUUCCAUGGUGGCUCAGUGGUAAGGAACCUGAUCAGUAUCCAUGAGGAUGUGGGUUUGAUCUCUGGCCUCGCUCAGUGGGUUAAGGAUGCGGCAUUGCCCUGAGUUGUGGUGUAGGUCGCAGACGUGGUAUUGGAUCUGGUGUUGCUGUGGCUGUGGUGUCGGCCAGCAGCUACAGCUUUGAUUCGACCCCUAGCCUGGGAACUUCCAUGUGCGCGGGUGUCGCCCUCAAUAAGACAAACCAAAAAACUAAAAAAACAUGAACAGCAUCUGCGAAGGUGCCUGUAACACAUACAGUGUCAGUCUCAGGGGUGAAGCGCCCUAUGAAUGAGGUCAUAUUUAUUUAUUCCGUCGAAUGCCUGAGACACUACCACUGAGGACUUAAAAUGCUUCCUGAUGAGAAAGUAUGUCUUGUACCUUAGAGUAAGAUGUGGGAAUAAGCUUGCUUUUAUUAAGGGCUUAAUUACCACUGCGUUAUUUGGGUUACAAAGGUCUUGGUCUUUUCUUUCUGCGUUCACAGACCAACAAAAGAGAGACCAAAUUCAACAACCUUAGAAAUCCUGGGCCAGGAAGGACUGCCAUCAUGUUCGGGAAGAAAAGCAAUUUGUGUUGUGGACAGAAUGCAUUUCUCUCCCAUUAUAACCACAGCCUGUUAAAAGCCUGUCAGGAAAUAAAUAAAACACUUUUUGUUCCGUUGCCCACAUCCCUGUACUCAAUUCAACAGAUUCCAGCCUUCUCAGAAAUGCGAUCGAAGGUGAAGCCAAAGAGGACACACAGGCUGGAGAGGGGAAGGGCCCCAGGGGAGCCUCCACACGGACACCGGCCCCUCCACACUUGCCUCACCAGCGACUCUGCCCCCACCACCCUCUUGUGAACCCCCAUGCUGUUAAAAUCAGACUCAGGAGUUCCCGUCCUGGCUCAGUGGAAAGGAACCUGACUAGGAUCCAUGAGGACGCAGGUUCGAUCCCUGGCCUUGCCCAGUGGGUGAAGGAUCUGGCCUUGCCGUGAGCUGUGGGGUAGGGUGCAGACACAGCUUGGAUCCCUUGUUGCUGUGGCUGUGGUGUAGGCUGGUGGCUACAGCUCCGAUUGGACCCCUACGCUGGGAACCUCCAUGUGCCGCAGGUGCGGCCCUAAAAAGACCAAAAAAAUUAGAUUCAACCAAGGGGUUCACAUCCUUGACCAGUCCCAUCCUUCCUGCCAAAGAGAAAUGCUCCUCUUACCAAGAAAAAGGGAGAGUGAAAUCCAAGAGCCCACACGGUUUAGGUAAACUAGGCGUGGACCUCAGGAGGAUCCGUAUUCCCAGCUCCAAAGGAACCCUGUAUAUAUGAAUGCGUGCUUUAAGAUGCAUGCUUCUUCUAACACUAUUUUAAGCGAAUCCUACUAUAUAUUUUUCUUCCUGUAAGCAAUCCACCUCACGCUCAUUUAGAAGCACCACCAAAAUAGAAAGCGUUCCGAAGCCUCCUGUGGAUUUUGGCAGCCAACAUCAAGGGUGGGGGAGAGGAGCUGGGUUUUACGGUAAAGCAAUCUGGGAUUCUGUUGCAAAAUGUAUGGGCAAUCUUUCGACGAAGAGCCUCUGCCUUCUGAAUAGCCCAUAAAUACCAACAGACCCUAAGUGCCAUCCCUAAGUUCAGAAUAGAAGUUAUCUUUAUUCACCAGCAUAGCCCCAGGCCCAGCGCAGUGCCCGACCCACCAGGCAGGAACAGGAUGUUCCCACGCAAGUGUGACCGGCUGACUAAGUGAAGAAUGACUACGGUACAAGGGCGGUUCACACACAGAUGUGAAAAAUGGUCCUGCUUUCAUGGUUCUGAACACCCAGGGACCAAGAAAGCCUAUUCCAUCAUUCUCUUCCUCUCUCAUGCAGAGGUGCAAGCUAAAUAAUUGGGGUCCCAAAGCCCCUGCAGUGCACGCCCACCCCCAGCUCCCUGAACCCUGCUUCAUAUUCUUUCUGGUGCAAGGGCUGAGCCUUCAUGGUGACACCUGUGUCUGCUUACAGAUGGCUGGAAGGAGGAUGGAUCAGGAAGAAGGGGCCCCUGCUCUUCCUCUUUUUGUUCAGGAUGUAGAUGAAAGCAGAGGAGGGAUCUGUGUCUCGGAGACCACGACCUGGAAGCGGGAAUACACUUGACUGAGAUCAUGAAACCCUCCGUACUUGGUUAUUCCUUUUUGUUUCAGUAGGCUUUCCCGACCUAGCUUGAGAAUCAAAUUAUAUAUUACGAGGGUGUGUAUUCCAAAAAGAGAUCAGUCAAUACAUUUGAAAUACAGUCUGCUCAUAAUCUUAGGAUUCCUUUCAUGGGACGUGUUGACACAGGGUGCUACAACUGGCAACAGGGUCAGCGCUGCUGAUCCUUAACCCUUUGUCAGUUACCCUUCUAGAAUGUGGAAGGGAUAGAAUGUACCCGAUUGCUAGCGAAGGUCCCUAGGUUACUGCUGAUGUCAGGUAACUGCAAGGGAAACACUCUCAGGACACAUAGUACAGUCCAGCCCAGCCCAGGUUGGGUCUUUAACCGGUAGACAAUCCAUAAACAUUAGCUAAGUGGUUAAUUAAAAGCAAAUAAGAUCAGGUCAUACCCAGUCAGAGGGCUACACAAACAAACAGAAAGUGACAACUGUUAUGGAGAAACUGGAACCCUUGGGUACUGUUAAGGGGCCUGUGAAGUGGCAAGGCUGCUCUAAAAACAGCAUAGUGGUCUUCAAAAAUCAAAAAGAGAAGCAUCGUAUGAUCCACACUUCCCGCUUCUGGUUAUAUAUCUAAAAUAAUUGAAAGCAGGGUCUCAGUGUUAUUUGCACACC